CCACUACUGGCCCCUAGUGUCAGAGUGUCCCCACUACUGGCCCUAGUGUCAGAUUGUCCCCACUACUGCCCCCUAGUGUCAGAUUGUCCCCACUACUGGCACUAGUGUCAGAGUGUCCCCACUACUGGCCCUAGUGUCAGAGUGUCCCCACUACUGCCCCCUAGUGUCAGAUUGUCCCCACUACUGGCACUAGUGUCAGAGUGUCCCCACUACUGGCCCUAGUGUCAGAGUGUCCCCACUACUGGCCCAUAGUGUCAGAGUGUCCCCACUACUGGCCCCUAGUGUCAGAGUGUCCCCACUACUGGCCCUAGUGUCAGAUUGUCCCCACUACUGCCCCCUAGUGUCAGAUUGUCCCCACUACUGGCACUAGUUGUCAGAUUGUCCCCACUACUGGCCCCUAGUGUCAGAGUGUCCCCACUACUGGCACUAGUGUCAGAGUGU